GGGAAGAUGAAAGAGAAGAUUCAGCUCAGAUGAGCCCCCAGUUACUUUAGACCAAAUUAAGAUGAAGAUUAAUGACCUUAAAAACGAAAACAGGGAUCUUGAAAAAAACAUAGCGAGUUGGGAGGAGAAGGCCAGGGAAGCAAAGAAGCAAGCAGAAACAAAGAGAGAACAUAAGCGUUCCCUUGCUGGAGUACGAAUAUUAAAAGCCCAAGAUGCACUGGCGGAUCAAGAGCUGAGAGCCUUGACAUCAAAAAACCAAGAACUGAAAGAAAGGAAAACAUUCCUGGAAGACCAGUGUAAUGCCCUGAGUUCUCAGAAAACAGCUAAAGAAGCAGAAUUGAACCUGCUAAAGAAGAAAUUGGAUAUGGUGGUGGAGUACUCUGAAAACCGAAAACUGCAGAAGAGAAGCUAGAAGAGACACUGUAUGAAUUGAAUGCAACUAAGAAUGAGCUGUUAGCUGCCGAUAAAUAUCUGAAAGUAACUGAAGAAGAAAUGGAGAAGUACAGACAAGAAGUGGAAGAAAUGCGAGAAGAGCUGCAGGAGUCUAACCUCACCUUCAACCACAAGAUCGCAGUUCAAGAGAGGUAUGCUCUGGCUAACUGGGAAAGUGUUUUCCAUUUCCUCAUCUUCGUUUGCAGCACAGUUGGGCACAACUGAAGAUUGUGCAUGAUGAAAGGGGAGAUGCUGCCUGUGGGAUCCAUGAGGCGUGAACCAAUGCCCGGAAGGCCUGAGUUGCAGAAGCCUGUGUGGCAAGCAUCUAGACUGGUUCCCAGGAUGAACAGCAGCACUAGCCCUCAAAGGGACCCAGAGAUACAUAUGGUCAGUAGAGGUGUGAGAGAGUUCCCUCAUUGCCCAGGGCUCCUCCGUAUGCCCUACCACAUGGGGUGGAAUGUACCGGACGUCCCUCCGCCUCAUCCACCUCCACAGUGGUGGACAUGGGGGCCUCAGCCACACCUCGUUCCUCCACCACAUGGCCUUCAGUCCCAAUCAGAAGCCUGUGGAGCUCAAGGGGUCAAUAGCAGCACCGUGCCCGAGAAGGUCCCAGAGAAGCACCAAGUAAAUGCUGGGGUGUUUUCAGUUGUACCCAUUUCUGGAGUUCUUUUCCUUUCUGGGCAGCACAGUUUCCUGACAUGUGUGUGUUGGAUAUAUCCUGGGGUCCAUGUGUGGUGUCCUUUCGCGUUCAAAGUGGCAAGUCUUACAGGCGUCUCUGUUUCCAGAUCAUCACCUUCUGGUUGUGUCAGUGGAGCAAAGGCAGAGUUUGUGUUCAGGGCUUGACAUUCAAGGGGAAACCGGGCUGGGGACGCUGUAUGAUUCUGAAGUUCUUCAGGACACACAUGCGUGUGCCUCGCUAUUUGCACACACUGAGCAGUGGGCAGGUGCCAUUGAUGGGAAGGAAGUGUCUCCAUUGCACAAUGGCAGACUUCUUUCUUUUACUGUCGUGCACAUCCAGCAUCUGCAUACGUUGUUCUGGGAGGGAUGAAACACCUCUCACUUCAUCCGCAGCGUGUAGGGUUUAAGCUGUCAUUUCCUUAGUUGUAUAAAUGCCUGACACAGGGCUGUGGUCCCUUCAUUGUUCAUUAGUGUAGGGGUCUGCCCUUGUCCUCUGCAGUUUAGAAAGUUGUGGGUAACGCUCUUGUCUGGUCUGGGAGGUGAGAAGGAAAGAAAAAGUGGCAGAUGCCGGAGGCAGGUGUAGAGGGUUCGUUGGAAUGUUGCUCAGUCACUUCCAGGUGGAGAAGCUUCUGUCUUUUCCAUGGUGUGGGUCAGAUACAGAUGCUGGAGCGUCCUCCACAAGGACCAGCGGUGCUGCCCACAGGCCUCUCGUGGCAUGGCAGAGUGAAGGCUGCUAAAGACAUGGUAACUUUCUUCUGGUUGUUCUGUAUUUAGAAUUGAUGGACCUUGUCUUCCAGUCAUACUGAGAGGGUUGUAGGUUCCUUGUGGUGGCAGAGAGCUGCCCUUCUCCAAAAGCUGGGCAGAUCAGGUGUCACACGCACAUGGUAUAGAGACGAUGUUUUGUGCUCUGGGAGGGAUGAGGCCUUAAUGUGAGGAAUUGAGGGUGUGUGUCUGAGAGAAGGGAGGGACACACUGAUGACAGGACAUAGACUGUGUGUUCUGUAUAAGGGAAGAACUAGAGAUGUAUCCAGAAAGAAGGGAGGGAGCCCCGAGUCACACAGAAACAGGAGGUUGUGGAUGCCGAGAAGGCUGGAGGUACUCAGGGAGAGGCUGGGCUUCUCUCAGGGUGAGGCCGUUCCUGGCUGCCAGCAGCCUGAGAGUGAGUGUGAGGACACCGUGCGGUCUACAACGACUGCUGCAUGUGUUCACUCACACAGUGUGGAUCACGCCGCUAUUUGCCUCAGAAUGUCGUUUUUGCCAUGAAGCCAUUCACUCAUAGUCUGUGAAGAGCAUUGUUUCCCUGAAUUUCUGAAAAUUCUGAACCAUGUGAAAGAGUGUCGUGGAGAUUUGGGAAACUUAACUUGGUCUUUGGGGAUUCUUGUCUGGCUAACUUUAAGUCCCGCAGUGAGAAAACAUGAAGACAAGAUGGAGAACCAGUGAAGAGUGGCCGCCCUGGCCUCAGCCCGAGUCAGACUGUUAGUGGGAGAGUCAGGGUUGGCCAGGAGCCGCCCUAGCUGGAGCCCUGUCACCAGGCCUCCGCAUCUGCAUCACCACCCUGCCUGCAGCUGUGCACUUCCCGGGGACUUCAGUCCCAGUGUCCAGAUUUGCCCGUGUUCCUGAUUUCUCAGCCCAAAUACCAGCUCUCAGUGGGGCCUUCUCAGGGCCUCAGCUUUUAUUUUAAUCUUUCAUAGAGAGAACAUAUUGGAUUCUGAGGUCACUACAGCAAUAGGAGCAUAAAGAACCUGCAGGGGCUCCUGAGCGACUCAGUCGGUUAAGCAGCAGAAUCUUGAUUCCUG